UCGUUAACUGGAUCCACGCUCAGUCUGAGCUCACACACGUACAGGGAGGCAAAGAAAAUCUGUCCCCAGCAAAACGGCCCGAGGUCAAUCGAGCUUGCUGGACGGCGAUCGAGGAAAAAAAUGGGAAAAAGGCAGCAGGCUUGCCAUCCGGUGGCAAGUAUCCUUCACUCACUGAUAUUCGGGCCCAAGAACACUCCAGGCCCAGCGACAGUGAGAGAUUGUGCAGAAGACAGCGGUGAAUAUUCUCAAAAAAAAAAGAAGACAGCGGUGAAAGAUAAAUCUACAGUAAACAAAUCAUCCACUAUAUGGCCAGGAAGCACCCAAGGGCAAAUCUGACCGUCGAAACAAUUAGGAUGAAAAAUCUACAGUAAACAACUCAUCGACCAGAUGUCCAGCCCGGCCGGUCUUCCUCCUCACUUCCUUGAUAACUACUACAUCUGUCUUCCUCUAAGCUCUGAAGGUUGUAGUGAUUUUUGUUAGAUCCUAGAAACAUCUAGGUGUAGAUCUAGCCGGUAGAUUAGCCAUUUCUGUGAUUCAAGUUGGUUCGAGAUUGAGAGAGAGGGGG
rnacentral:lncRNA from 1 species